CAGUAGCCGCGGGAAUACGAAGGGGGCUAGCGUUGCUCGGAAUUACUGGGCGUAAAGGGAGCGUAGGCGGACCGAUUAGUCAGGGGUGAAAUCCCGGGGCUCAACCUCGGAACUGCCUUUGAUAUUGUCGAUCUUGAGUAUGGGAGAGGUGUGUGGAACUCCGAGUGUAGAGGUGAAAUUCGUAGAUAUUCGGAAGAACACCAGUGGCGAAGGCGACACACUGGCCCAUUACUGACGCUGAGGCCCGAAAGCGUGGGGAGCAAACAGGAUUAGAUACCCCCGUAGUCCCUGUCUCUUAUAC
rnacentral:rRNA from 1 species